rnacentral:lncRNA from 1 species
AUCUGCCCACUUCGGCAGUCACACAUCUGCUAGCUGAUCUCCUGAAAAUGCAGUUUGACCACGUUCAUUCCAAAACUACAGGACAUCCACCACGUGCCAGGGCCCGGAGGUCAACUAUCCCCAGGUCAAAGGGAGACAAUGGGAGAGAGCCACUAUUGCCUGACAACAUCUACUAUCAGAACACAGGAAUUCGUAAUCGCACUGGUUAAGAAUUUAUAGAAUAGUUAAUAAAGAAUAUUAUGGGGUAGUGCUUCCACUAAGGCGAUAACCAAAAGUCAACUCUGAUCUGGAAAUGAGAACAGCCAACACAUCGGAAAGAAGGGCAAAAAGCCAAGCAGAAAGCGAGAAGGAGCCGAGAGAACACCCUUGGACAGCGGGAUACGGUCCCGGGCACUGGCACCCUGAGAUUCUAAAGAUGGGCUCAUU